rnacentral:lncRNA from 1 species
GAAACUGCUAAAAUGAUUUAUUGAUUUAUUUUCUCAGUGAUUUUAUAUUCCUUGAUAUGUCAUUGUAGCAGCUCUAUUAGUUUAUUUUGAUAUUAGAAUACAUUUUGCUGAUUUGAUUUGCAUUUGAUUUACAUGACUAUUCCUGCUGCUAAAUAAUAUUUUCAGAUCACAUGGGGAACUCAUUUAUAGAGGAGAGGCUGCAGCUGAAUUUCAAUUGGUAAGUUGGGAGGGGGCUUCAGCCCAUAAAUAUGAACAUAAACCUUGCC